rnacentral:lncRNA from 1 species
CUCCCCCUGAACUGACCUUGUCUGGUGGCAGGCGGAGAGGCUGCUCUGGUUAGUGCAGAUAAGGACACAGGAAGCAAAAAUGCGAAAGUGGGUUGCUUGUGGGCAGUCAGGUCCAGAAAGCUUCAAAGGGACUGGAUCUCUAGUAAGGAAUACGGCCUCGUAUCCAGUUAUACCAAUCAGGUAGGUGACCCAGAGAAUACACAUGAGGAAAAACAAGAGAACAAUGUGGCCUUGCUCGUUAAGGUUAGAAUCCUGUGUUAUGUGUCCUUGAUUCCCGAGGAGCUCCCAUUCUGUGAGCUUCAUCAUUCUUUAUGAGAUCAAUAA